CAGGUAAUUAGAGGCAUGUAAGUGAUGGCAACAGCAGUGAGCUGUAGCAGCGAAAUGAAUUGUUAGUUUAGGCAGGACUCGCCGCGGCCCUGGUGGAUUUAUCACGUUUCUAGCUGCUGUAUGAACUUGAUGUUACCCUUGUCUAGGAGAAUACAAGAACGGCUUUUUUAACUCGAAGGCAGGAAGUCCAACUUGGGAGCGUGCGAACCGCAGUCCUCGUUUUCUGAGUCUGAGGAAACGGACUGGCAUUGCCUGUUGCAAAACGGCUUACCUAGUUGAUGUCCAGAUCUGGCAAGCAUUGAAGGAAGAUGGCUCUUCAAGGAUGAAUUUGAAGAAGAGCCUGCAAGCACUGGGGAGGGUGCAAAUGAUACAUCGACUUGUUUGUUAUGCGCUGGCCCGAGGCCAAACCCAAGCAAGUCCUGGAGUUCAAACCACCUUUUAUGUCCGAGUGCAGCCCCUUCUGGGGCUAGUGAAAGCACUGUUGAUGAAGUGGUCCUCCUUUCCUUUAUGACGCGCGGAUUUAGAGGUGAGGCGGCUGGCACAUCCAACCAGAGACCCUUCACCCUCUACCUGCGGCCCCGUGAAAUCAUGAGCGUCCCCCGCCCCGUCUUCCAGCUUUGAAACAGUCAAGGUAUUCCUCUCGGGGACGACAUUUCGUCCAGGUUUUCAGAGGCUCAUGUCUGUCUUAGGUAAAGGAGCGCUGGGCUUGGAGGUGACUAGCCUGAUGCUGCUAAUUUUCAGGAAGGGGAAAUGUCUUGGUCCUCAGCUUCCACUUUUAUAAAAGGGGGAUAAUGACAUUUGUCCUUCCUACCUCCUGAGUUGCCCGGUGACCUGUGAGAAUGCUUUGUUAUGCUUUAUUAGUAUCGUUUUGUGUGUUCACGCUGCUGUUGCGCGAAAGCCCUUCUCCCACUUCACCAGACCGUCUCCCCUAGAGCCUUCCGGACCCCGCUCACAUGUCCCCUUCUCUGCUAAGCUUCUUGGCUCCUCAGUGCAGAGUGGUGGCCUCCCCUGUUCUGCCUGUCAACCAACCACAUUGUACAGCCACUGUUUACACGUUCAUCUCUACCACUGGACUCUGAGCUCCUUGAGCAGAGGGACAGCGUCUUAGUCUCUUUGUGUGCCCGUCUUCCAACAUCAUAGCCAGCCGGCUCUAGCGGAUGCUCAAGAAAAGUGUGUCUAAUUGACGCGUGGAGGACACUGGAUGGAUCACGCGCUUGGGUGGAAGAUUCUAGGCCUCCGAACUCUUGUGAUAACACACGGCCUUCUGUUUUGCCUUCUGGGCCAGAAGAUGGCCAAGGAACAGAGCCCCACUCGGUCAUGGUCGGAUCCAGGCUGCGCAGGGCAAAAUCUUCCUCAAGGCUUCCCCGGAAUUGAAGGAAGGUAAGGCCCCAUAAGCCAUCAUAGUCACGCUACCCGCGAAGAGACUCAGCUUUCACUGUUGUGCUUCAGUUGGAUGAUAUACGUGAAAGGGCUUUGUAAAGUGCGAGAAACAUCAGACAGCCGCAAGGUAUUGUUCUCUGUGUGCUUGCCCCCAGUUUGAUGGUGGGCUUUUGAAAGGCUAGCAUGCGUCUUAAACUUCUUUAUCUUCCCUUCGAUGAUAAUCCCAACGAUUCCCUUCAACUGAUAAUCAGCACUUAGGCAUUGAAUACACAGGUCCUGACUUUCACCUUUAUAAUUUCCCUUCAUCUUUAGCCACCAUAACAUAUGAGGGCAACACCGACCACACGUCGCUGCCCUCUCGCGUCCCUUUCCGCACUUUUCCCCACACAUGUCAAUGGAUUAUUAGAACCGCACUUAAUGGAGUGUGGCUGUGCAUGCCAGGUUGGGUGUUUGCAUAUGUUCCUCCUCCAUAUCAGUCUAAAAAAUUAUCACUGAAUUAAAAAAUAAGGAUAUUUAGUUGAGAGACUCUCAUUGGUUCUGAUUACCAAAAAUGUUGGCAGUUAUCUUUAUUCUUUCUUUCUGGGUAUGUCACAUUUCCCUGGAUGAAGAGGAAAUGGUGAAAAGUGCCUUCCAUUGUUACUUGAUGUGUAUUUGAUUUGUUUGGAAUUUAAUUAAUGGUCACUAUAUAUUACAUUUCCACUGCACAGAAAUGCAACCUAUGGGGGUGUGUACAGGAGAAAAAGUACGGUGCUGUUAUAAAGGAGUUUAAAGUAAGAUUUGGGGGAUGGCAGAUAUAAAUAAAGCAUAUCUUGUAGGGGCGCCUGGGUGGCGC
rnacentral:lncRNA from 1 species